GCGAGUGACCGAGUGGGCAAGGGGCCGUCACUGUGUGUGCGUGAUUGUGACGGUGUGUGGUGGUAGCUUCUGACUCCGCGUGGGUCGUUGAAUGUGUGACUGGGACCGUUUAGCGGUGGAUACACAACUGUGUGCGGCUGUGGAAGAUUGACUCAUCCGUUACGUUCCCAUUUCCGUGGAACAACAGUUUUACCAGAAGGUUUCGAAGGAACCUUAAAGUUUGGAAGCGCGGCUUUGGAGUCAUCAAAUGUGAGAAGCCCUGGACUUUACACAUCCCGAGCCAGUGUGAUCCAGUAUGAUUGGGAGUCCGAGUGCCAGAUGCCGGUCGGGACCUGUUAUGCUGGGUCUCAGAAUGCGGAAACUCUCCCUGUCCGAGGUGGAACAGUUUGUCCUUGAGUGAGGACCGGAGUCCUGAGUGACUCUUGAUUUGAUCCUGUUUCCCU
rnacentral:lncRNA from 1 species